AUUGAACGCUGGCGGCAUGCCUUACACAUGCAAGUCGAACGGCAGCACGGGGGCAACCCUGGUGGCGAGUGGCGAACGGGUGAGUAAUGCAUCGGAAUGUGCCCAGUAGUGGGGGAUAACGUAGCGAAAGCUACGCUAAUACCGCAUACGACCUACGGGUGAAAGCGGGGGACCGACAGGCCUCGCGCUAUUGGAGCAGCCGAUGUCUGAUUAGCUAGUUGGUGGGGUAAAGGCCUACCAAGGCGACGAUCAGUAGCUGGUCUGAGAGGACGAUCAGCCACACUGGGACUGAGACACGGCCCCAGACUCCUACGGGAGGCAGCAGUGGGGAAUUUUGGACAAUGGGCGAAAGCCUGAUCCAGCAAUGCCGCGUGUGUGAAGAA
rnacentral:rRNA from 1 species